rnacentral:rRNA from 1 species
UACGUAGGCAGCGAGCGUUGUUCGGAGUUACUGGGCGUAAAGGGUGUGUAGGCGGUCCUCUAAGUUUGGUGUGAAAUCUCCCGGCUUAACCGGGAGGGUGCGCCGAAAACUGGAGGGCUAGAGUGCGGGAUGGGAGAGUAGAAUUCCUGGUGUAGCGGUGAAAUGCGUAGAUAUCAGGAGGAACACCGGUGGCGAAGGCGGGUCUCUGGGCCGAUACUGACGCUGGAGGAGCGAAAGCGUGGGGAGCGAACAGG